rnacentral:lncRNA from 13 species
UGUGGCUCACACCUGUAAUCCCAGCACUUUGGGAGGCUGAGGCAGGUCAGGAGUUCAAGACCAGCCUGGCCAACAUGGUGAAAUCCCAUCUCUAUGGAAAAUAAAAAAGUGUUAGCCGGCCAUGGUGGUGGACGCCUGUAAUCCCAGCUACUCAGAAGGUUGCAGCAAGAGAAUCCCUUGACCUGGGAGGUGGAGGUUAUAGUGAGCCGAGAUCGUGCCACUGCACUCCAGCCUAGGUGACAGAGCAAGACUCCAUCUCCAGAAAAAAAAGAAAGAAAAUGGACACAGAGUGGCCACAUGGGCCCACUGGGCUGCUGAUUCUCCGUGCCCACCUUUUUCUUGCAGCCACUUCUAGGGAUGUAGCUGGGGUUAGGCCUCUGUUCCCCAGGACACUCCCGCUCUGAUCAGACUGUCUGUGACCUGAGCAGGAAGCUAGCCAGAGGCAAUACCCACCCAGAUCCUGGAGGCAAGAAGCCAACAGGCGGGAACAAAGAAUUUUCCGUGGCUCCACUGUUCAUGAGGAACUGCCACUCUUCAGGGCCUCAAUUGCUCUUUCACCCUCUUCUCCUUCCCCAGAUUUCCAUCACUGGUGAUAUUUACAUUGGAAUUAUGCCCAGGACUUCAGGAACCCAGCAUGGGGGGCUUCUGUCAAUUGCAAGUCCCUGCUGAAAAGCAAAGAUAAAGAUGAAAAUGAAGAUGAAGAUGAAGAGAGGGAAGGCCUCUCUUCCCUCCAGAGGCUCAGAGUCUGCGGUGGUGGGUAAGCAGCAGGUACCUAGUCAUAUGUGCUAGCUGAGAGCACUCUCUACGGGAACAGAUCUGGGAUGAGAUCCUUGCCAGUUACCAGCUGUGUGAUCUCUGGCAAGCUACAAAGUAUAUGUGAGUGUUGGUUUUGUCAUCUGUAAAAUGGAAGUAAUAAUACAUCCCACCUCAGUGGGGUUUGUGAGUUUGAGAAGAGACCUGACAGUGGCAGCUGGCAGUGCAGCAGAGAUGACAGCCCUUUUGCUAAUGGAAGCCUGAAGCUGCUCCAGGUAGCAAAAGCGCCAGGCCCGGUGCAUGAAUCAUGAGUGGGCUAAUCCGUUGACAGCGAAGCCUUUCUCUCUGCUGGAUACUGGCUUUCCCAGCUUCCCUGGCAGCUAAGGGUGGCCAUGUGACCCUCCUCUGGCCAUUGAGUUAUAAGAGGAAGUCUGCUGGACUUCCUCAAUAAAAUACAGAGGCGGAAGCCUUUGCUUUCCCUA